CGACGGGUAGGGCUGGGUCGUUUGCCGCGACCUGUCACCGGUAAUGGCAAUAGCCGGAGCUAGUAACCAACAUUAAGGAUGAACCGGAACAUCGGUAGGUCCAGUCGCAGGACGUUGACGUGCGGUCUCUUGAGUCUGUCACGGACAUAGCAGCAUUCGUAGGUUUGUUGUGAUUGUCAUAAACUUUCGAACUGGGUCAGGCCCUGGCGGGAACAGCCCUAAGGAAGAGUGAUGGAGCCCAGGAGGUUGCCGCAUUGAGAAAUGCACUGAUUUGCCUUCCGACUACCGACAUUCGAAAUCAAGGAGCCGUCG
rnacentral:SRP_RNA from 1 species